UACGUAGGUGGCAAGCGUUGUCCGGAUUUAUUGGGUUUAAAGGGUGCGUAGGCGGCCUAUUAAGUCAGUGCUGAAAUAUCCCGGCUUAACCGGGAGGGUGGCAUUGAUACUGAUGGGCUUGAGUGAAGUCGAGGUAUGCGGAAUUGACGGUGUAGCGGUGAAAUGCUUAGAUAUCGUCAAGAACACCGAUAGUGCAGACAGCAUACUGGGCUUAAACUGACGCUGAGGCACGAAAGUGUGGGGAUCAAACAGG
rnacentral:rRNA from 1 species